rnacentral:rRNA from 1 species
AGCGAACGCUGGCGGCAGGCCUAACACAUGCAAGUCGAACGGAUCCUUCGGGAUUAGUGGCGGACGGGUGAGUAACACGUGGGAACGUGCCCUUUGGUUCGGAACAACUCAGGGUAACUUGAGCUAAUACCGGAUGUGCCCUUCGGGGGAAAGAUUUAUCGCCAUUGGAGCGGCCCGCGUCUGAUUAGCUAGUUGGUGAGGUAAAGGCUCACCAAGGCGACGAUCAGUAGCUGGUCUGAGAGGAUGAUCAGCCACAUUGGGACUGAGACACGGCCCAAACUCCUACGGGAGGCAGCAGUGGGGAAUCUUGCGCAAUGGGCGAAAGCUUGACGCAGCCAUGCCGCGUGAAUGAUGAAGAUCUUAGGAUUGUAAAAUUCUUUCACCGGGGACGAUAAUGACGGUACCCGGAGAAGAAGCCCCGGCUAACUUCGUGCCAGCCGCCGCGGUAACAC